rnacentral:rRNA from 1 species
UACGAAGGGGGCUAGCGUUGUUCGGAAUUACUGGGCGUAAAGCGCACGUAGGCGGAUUGUUAAAUGAGGGGUGAAGUCCCGAAGCUCAACCUCGGAACUGCCUUUCAUACUGGCAAUCUAGAGAUCGGAAGAGGUGAGUGGAAUUCCCAGUGUAGAGGUGAAAUUCGUAGAUAUUGGGAAGAACACCAGUGGCGAAGGCGACUCGCUGGACAAGUAUUGACGCUGAGGUGCGAAAGCGUGGGGAGCAAACAGG